rnacentral:rRNA from 1 species
AUUGAACGCUGGCGGCAGGCCUAACACAUGCAAGUCGAGCGGUCCGGCGGACGGGGGAUUAAUGCCUAGUAUUUUGCCUGGUAGUGGGGGAUACCGUCCGGAACCGGGAGCUAUUACCUCAUACUUCCAGUUGAGCCUGGGUCGGAUUAGCUAGUUGGUGGGGUAAAGGCCUACCAAGGCGACGACCCGUAACUGGUCUGAGAGGAUGAUGAGUCACACUGGAACUGAGACACGGUCCAGACUCCUACGGGAGGCAGCAGUGGGGAAUAUUGGACAAUGGGCGAAAGCCUGAUCCAGCCAUGCCGCGUGUGUGAAGAAGGUCUUCGGAUUGUAAAGCACUUUAAGUUGGGAGGCGUUACCAACAGAAUAAGCACCGGCUAACUUCGUGCCAGCAGCCGCGGUAAUAC